CACCAAGGUGUAUAUAUUUAGAAGGUGAAUUUUUGUCGAUUUGGCAGGUAGACAUUUUGGAUUUUGGCCGGUCGAGAAACUUCAAAGUUUGUUUACUUAAUCAUAUGGUUUGGGACUACCAAAAUAAACAAACAUAAAGCAUCGUUUUUCGGUUCAGUAAACCAAGUUUCUACAUUUAUCAUCGUCGUUGCACAUAGCACUGAAGAUAAACAGUUCCUUUACCAGCUCUAAAAAGAAAUUUGCGUGACGUUGUUUUCUUCAUACAGCUACCAAAGGCCUAUCGGACGUAUCGAAUUACGGCAUACCACUCGAUAAAAUUACACUGGUAGAUUAAGUGAAGCUGUUCGAUUCUCGUGCUAAGUACCAUAAAUUACAAGGAAUAGGAUAGAAUUGUGCCGCAUCCACCUCGAAACCCUUAUCUUUCGUACCCGUCAGGCGUAUAAUGCUUCACUGGAUAGCAUUAGCAAUUAUGCGUAGAUUGUUCGGAAAGUUUCACUAUGAUUUGAAAGCACCAGCACCACCAGUGCGUGGACCGUAAAGUAUCAGUAUCAUGAUGUGCUGCCUCCACUGGAUCCAGGUAAGGACUCCAUCGAUCAUCGGUGUAAGAACGUUUAUAUUGAAUGAUACUGUAAACUGUUUACGGGGCAUUCAAUAUUUAUCACUU